UACGUAUGGGGCAAGCGUUAUCCGGAAUUAUUGGGCGUAAAGAGUGCGUAGGUGGUUACCUAAGCGCAAGGUUUAAUCUUGAGGCUCAACCUCAUUCUGCCUUGCGAACUGGGCUACUUGAGUGCAGGAGGGGAAAGCGGAAUUCCCAGUGUAGCGGUGAAAUGCGUAGAUAUUGGGAAGAACACCGGUGGCGAAGGCGGCUUUCUGGACUGUAACUGACACUGAGGCACGAAAGCGUGGGGAGCAAACAGGAUUAGAUACCCCUGUAGUCCCUGA
rnacentral:rRNA from 1 species